CAUGCUUAACACAUGCAAGUCGAACGGUGAGAGAGUGCUUGCACUCUUGAAUUAGUGGCGGACGGGUGCGUAACGCGUAGGAAUCUGCCUGUUAGUGGGGGAUAACGUGGGGAAACUCACGCUAAUACCGCAUAUACUCUACUGAGAAAAGCGGGGGAUCGUAAGACCUCGCGCUAACAGAUGAGCCUGCGUAGGAUUAGCUAGUUGGUGGGGUAAUGGCUCACCAAGGCAACGAUCCUUAGCUGGUCUGAGAGGAUGAUCAGCCACACUGGGACUGAGACACGGCCCAGACUCCUACGGGAGGCAGCAGUGGGGAAUCUUAGACAAUGAGGGAAACCCUGAUCUAGCCAUGCCGCGUGAUCGAUGAAGGCCUUAGGGUUGUAAAGAUCUUUCAGUGGGGAAGAUAAUGACUGUACCCACAGAAGAAGCCCCGGCUAACUCCGUGCCAGCAGCCGCGGUAAUAC
rnacentral:rRNA from 1 species